rnacentral:rRNA from 1 species
AGUGAACGCUGGUGGUAGGCCUAACACAUGCAAGUCGAACGGCAGCACAGUAAGAGCUUGCUCUUACGGGUGGCGAGUGGCGGACGGGUGAGGAAUACAUCGGAAUCUACUUUUUCGUGGGGGAUAACGUAGGGAAACUUACGCUAAUACCGCAUACGACCUACGGGUGAAAGCAGGGGAUCUUCGGACCUUGCGUGAUUGAAUGAGCCGAUGUCGGAUUAGCUAGUUGGCGGGGUAAAGGCCCACCAAGGCGACGAUCCGUAGCUGGUCUGAGAGGAUGAUCAGCCACACUGGAACUGAGACACGGUCCAGACUCCUACGGGAGGCAGCAGUGGGGAAUAUUGGACAAUGGGCGCAAGCCUGAUCCAGCCAUACCGCGUGGGUGAAGAAGGCCUUCGGGUUGUAAAGCCCUUUUGGUGGGAAAGAAAAGCAGCAGGUUAAUACCCCGCUGUUCUGGCGGUACCCAAAGAAUAAGCACCGGCUAACUUCGUG